rnacentral:rRNA from 1 species
GCUUAGCGUCUUAGCAGGCGAUUCUUCCACGGCGCUCGAAGCGCGUCGUGGUAUUUCGCGUAUUGUAAUUUCAACACGAGCGGGGUCAAAUCCUUUGCAGACGACUUAGCUGUGCGAAACGGUCCUGUAAGCAGUAGAGUAGCCUUGUUGUUACGAUCUGCUGAGGGUAAGCCGUCCUUCGCCUCGAUUU